AGUUGCCAUCAUUGAGUUGGGCACUCUAAAGAGACUGCCGGUGUCAAACCGGAGGAAGGUGGGGAUGACGUCAAGUCCUCAUGGCCUUUAUGACCAGGGCUACACACGUACUACAAUGGCCGGUACAAAGGGCAGCGACACAGCGAUGUGAAGCGAAUCCCGAAAAGCCGGUCUCAGUCCGGAUUGUAGUCUGCAACUCGACUACAUGAAGUCGGAAUCGCUAGUAAUCGCGAAUCAGAAUGUCGCGGUGAAUACGUUCUCGAGUCUU
rnacentral:rRNA from 1 species